GAUGAACGCUGGCGGCGUGCCUAAUACAUGCAAGUCGAGCGAACGGACGAGAAGCUUGCUUCUCUGAUGUUAGCGGCGGACGGGUGAGUAACACGUGGAUAACCUACCUAUAAGACUGGGAUAACUUCGGGAAACCGGAGCUAAUACCGGAUAAUAUUUUGAACCGCAUGGUUCAAAAGUGAAAGACGGUCUUGCUGUCACCUAUAGAUGGAUCCGCGCUGCAUUAGCUAGUUGGUAAGGUAACGGCUUACCAAGGCAACGAUGCAUAGCCGACCUGAGAGGGUGAUCGGCCACACUGGAACUGAGACACGGUCCAGACUCCUACGGGAGGCAGCAGUAGGGAAUCUUCCGCAAUGGGCGAAAGCCUGACGGAGCAACGCCGCGUGAGUGAUGAAGGUCUUCGGAUCGUAAAACUCUGUUAUUAGGGAAGAACAUAUGUGUAAGUAACUGUGCACAUCUUGACGGUACCUAAUCAGAAAGCCACGGCUAACUACGUGCCAGCAGCCGCGGUAAUACGUAGGUGGCAAGCGUUAUCCGGAAUUAUUGGGCGUAAAGCGCGCGUAGGCGGUUUUUUAAGUCUGAUGUGAAAGCCCACGGCUCAACCGUGGAGGGUCAUUGGAAACUGGAAAACUUGAGUGCAGAACCCGAAAGAGGAAUUCCAUGUGUAGCGGUGAAAUGCGCAGAGAUAUGGAGGAACACCCGUGGCGAAGGCGACUUUCUGGUCUGUAACUGACGCUGAUGUGCGAAAGCGUGGGGAUCAAACAGGAUUAGAUACCCUGGUAGUCCACGCCGUAAACGAUGAGUGCUAAGUGUUAGGGGGUUUCCGCCCCUUAGUGCUGCAGCUAACGCAUUAAGCACUCCGCCUGGGGAGUACGACCGCAAGGUUGAAACUCAAAGGAAUUGACGGGGACCCGCACAAGCGGUGGAGCAUGUGGUUUAAUUCGAAGCAACGCGAAGAACCUUACCAAAUCUUGACAUCCUUUGACAACUCUAGAGAUAGAGCCUUCCCCUUCGGGGGACAAAGUGACAGGUGGUGCAUGGUUGUCGUCAGCUCGUGUCGAGAGAUGUUGGGUUAAGUCCCGCAACGAGCGCAACCCUUAAGCUUAGUUGCCAUCAUUAAGUUGGGCACUCUAAGUUGACUGCCGGUGACAAACCGGAGGAAGGUGGGGAUGACGUCAAAUCAUCAUGCCCCUUAUGAUUUGGGCUACACACGUGCUACAAUGGACAAUACAAAGGGCAGCGAAACCGCGAGGUCAAGCAAAUCCCAUAAAGUUGUUCUCAGUUCGGAUUGUAGUCUGCAACUCGACUACAUGAAGCUGGAAUCGCUAGUAAUCGUAGAUCAGCAUGCUACGGUGAAUACGAUCCCGGGUCU
rnacentral:rRNA from 1 species